rnacentral:lncRNA from 1 species
UACAUUCAAACGGCUAUGACAAUGCAUUUUUGUCUAAAAAUAACAAUAUGUGUCCGAUUUUCUCACCUUUUGCUGAAACUGAAACUUCAACCAUCUUAGCGACCAUGAAAAAUGAAAUCAGAUAUAGAAAUACUGUACCGGUAAGAUAAAGCUGUGAGAGUGUAAGAAAGUGCGAGCCUUACAAAAGAGGCCAAGAGAGAAAGCGGGGAGAGAGGUCAGAGGAGUGAAGGGGAUUGAGGAGGGGUGGGGGAUCGAGGAGGGGUGAGGGAAGGGAAGACUGUGAGGUGAGAGAAAAGGAAAGGCUGAUGUGCGCUGGAGCAUUAAUUCCUGCCCAGACGUGUCCAGAAACAAACACCGCUUGGACACGUCGAGAGACAAACUCUCGUCCGGUCAUAAACACCUUGCGGACAUGUCCGGAGACAACCCCUGCCCGGAAACGUGUGCCAUCCCUCAGAUGGAUUUCAGGUUCGUACUAACUGUGCACAACAUAGUCAACUGAUGUCUGACCAGCAAGCAGCAGAAGGGGGCCAGGAGCGAGAAGUCCCACCUCCCAAUCAUCAGAAAGAUGAUAAUCAUGGAGGCUCGAAGUCCCGAUUGCAGCCUGAAUGCAUUGUGCACAUCCCUGGGUUACAAUAUGGCCCUAUGGUGCUAUUAUCCACAGCCCGACUAGCAAGGUUGAAGGAGAUCCGAGACAAGGGACUGGUGCAACCACAUGGAUCAGUCCAACGCAUGACGAGUACCUGUGACCUAAUACCAGAUUCCCUGACUGAGUGUCAACGAUUUACCAUGAACCUCAGUCACCUCUCCACUCCUUCAGAUCCAUCUACUCCAUUAUGCUCCAAGUUAAGUCAGAGGGAUUCAUCAGGGGACAAGAUGGAGUUUCUACAGCCUUGUUUCUGCAGUUUCUGCAGCCAUGCAGCAGAGCCUCGAUCUGAGGAGAUGGAGGCUCCACCCACGCCUUCAGCCAAAAACACGUGGGCAAUGGCGACCCGGUUGAGUGAGUGACGGUGCCAUUGUUGUUUUUGUAGAUGUAAUAAACCUGACUAUAAAAUAACUCACAGCGCACACACAAAAUUCCCAUUAGACAGAAGAAUGGGACCCUGACUAUAAACACAUACUUAUCGAAAUAACUGAACUGCGGGGGCUGCUGUCUGUCUGUGUGCAAAUGGCUUCCAGAUUCGUAACAGUAUUUCAGACCUUCC